ACCCAGCUGACGAGUCCCAGAAUAGGGUGAAACGCGAGUCCUGUAU
rnacentral:hammerhead_ribozyme from 1 species